rnacentral:rRNA from 1 species
CCCUUAGAUGUUCUGGGCCGCACACGCGCUACACUGAUGCAUUCAACGAGUCUAAAACCUGCUCUGAUAGGGGUGGGUAAUCUUUUGAAUGUGCAUCGUGAUUGGGAUAGAUGAUUGCAAUUUUUCAUCUUCAACGAGGAAUGCCUAGUAAACGCAAGUCAUCAGCUUGCAUUGAUUACGUCCCUGCCCUUUGUACACACCGCCCGUCGCUCCUACCGAUUGAAUGAUCCGAUGAAUAUCAUGGAUUGAGGAUGCAAGUAGGUUAGCCUAUCUUCAUCUUCGAGAAGUGAAGUAAAUCUUAUCAUUUAGAGGAAGGAGAAGUCGUAACA